rnacentral:rRNA from 1 species
AGAGUUUGAUCCUGGCUCAGGAUGAACGCUGGCGGCGUGCCUAAUACAUGCAAGUCGAGCGAACUGAUUAGAAGCUUGCUUCUAUGACGUUAGCGGCGGACGGGUGAGUAACACGUGGGCAACCUGCCUGUAAGACUGGGAUAACUUCGGGAAACCGAAGCUAAUACCGGAUAGGACCUUCUCCUUCAUGGGAGAUGAUUGAAAGAUGGUUUCGGCUAUCACUUACAGAUGGGCCCGCGGUGCAUUAGCUAGUUGGUGAGGUAACGGCUCACCAAGGCAACGAUGCAUAGCCGACCUGAGAGGGUGAUCGGCCACACUGGGACUGAGACACGGCCCAGACUCCUACGGGAGGCAGCAGUAGGGAAUCUUCCGCAAUGGACGAAAGUCUGACGGAGCAAC